rnacentral:rRNA from 1 species
GAUGAACGCUGGCGGCGUGCUUAACACAUGCAAGUCGAACGGAAAGGCCCAAGCUUGCUUGGGUACUCGAGUGGCGAACGGGUGAGUAACACGUGGGUGAUCUGCCCUGCACUUCGGGAUAAGCCUGGGAAACUGGGUCUAAUACCGGAUAGGACGAUGGUUUGGAUGCCAUUGUGGAAAGUUUUUUCGGUGUGGGAUGAGCUCGCGGCCUAUCAGCUUGUUGGUGGGGUAAUGGCCUACCAAGGCGUCGACGGGUAGCCGGCCUGAGAGGGUGUACGGCCACAUUGGGACUGAGAUACGGCCCAGACUCCUACGGGAGGCAGCAGUGGGGGAUAUUGCACAAUGGGCGCAAGCCUGAUGCAGCGACGCCGCGUGGGGGAUGACGGCCUUCGGGUUGUAAACUCCUUUCGCUAGGGACGAAGCGUUUUUGUGACGGUACCUGGAGAAGAAGCACCGGCUAACUACGUG